rnacentral:rRNA from 1 species
UACGGAGGGUGCGAGCGUUGUCCGGAAUCACUGGGCGUAAAGGGCGCGUAGGUGGCGCGGGCAGUCAACGGUGAAAGCUCGGGGCUCAACCCCGAGUCGGCCGUCGAUACUCCCGUGCUUGAGCACUGCAGAGGCAGAUGGAAUUCCGGGUGUAGCGGUGGAAUGCGUAGAGAUCCGGAGGAAGACCGGUGGCGAAGGCGGUCUGACUGGGCAGUUUCUGGACGACUGAUGCGCGACAGCGUGGGGAG